rnacentral:rRNA from 1 species
AAUUUGGACAAUGGGGGAAACCCUGAUCCAGCAAUGCCGCGUGCAGGAUGAAGGCCUUCGGGUUGUAAACUGCUGUUGUACGGAACGAAAAGUCUUGGGUUAAUACCCUGUGAUCAUGACGGUACCGUCAGAAUAAGCACCGGCUAACUACGUGCCAUCCGCCGCGGUAAUACGUAGGGUGCAAGCGUUAAUCGGAAUUACUGGGCGUAAAGCGUGAGCAGGCGGUUUUGUAAGACAGUGGUGAAAUCACCGGGCUCAACCUGGGAACUGCCAUUGUGACUGCAAGGCUGGAGUGCGGCAGAGGGGGAUGGAAUUCCGCGUGUAGCAGUGAAAUGCGUAGAUAUGCGGAGGAACACCGAUGGCGAAGGCAAUCCCCUGGGCCUGCACUGACGCUCAUGCACGAAAGCGUGGGUAGCAAACAGG